AGUGAAGGUAGAGGUGCGAACUUCAUCAGUAAAAGCUUGGAGAAGAAUGAGCUUCCAUGAAAAGCUUUGAAAGGGUACGUUCGCCGAAGUGGAGAAAAUCUCAUCAUUUUUUCUGCUGGUUCUGCAUUGAAUAAAUGCAGGAUUGUCAGGACAAUGCCGUCCUGGAGAGCUAUCUCACUG
rnacentral:ncRNA from 2 species